UCAGAAGGAGAAAUGGCCAGAUGUGCCAUUGUUCACUGAUUCACAGGCUAUAGCCAGUGGAUUGGUUGGAUGGUUGGGGACUGGGAAAGAGCACGGCAGGAAAGUGGGUGAGAAAGUGACCUAGGGAAGAAGUAUGUCGAUGGAUUUCUCCAAAUGUGUAAAGGUACUUGUGUCCCAUGUAAAACGCUCAUCAAAAGGUGACUUCAACAGAGAAGGAGCUCAAUAAGCAAGUAGAUAGGAUGAUCUAUUCUGUGGACGGUCAGCCUCUUUUCCCAACCAUCCCAGUCAGUGUCCAGUGGGCCAAUGAACAAGGUGACCAUGGAGGCAGAGAUUGAAGUUAGGCAUGGGCUUGACUACGUGGACUUGCACUCAUCAAAGUUGAUCUGGCUACAGCGGUUGCUGAGUGCCAAAUCUGCCAACAGCAGAGACCAACGCUGAGCCUGAAAUAUGGCACUAUUCCCUGGGGUGACCAACCAGUGAGCUCGUGACAGGUUGACUACAUUGAACCACUUCCUCUGUGGGAAAGACAAUGCUUUUUUCUUACUGCAGUAUUUAUUCUGGUUACGGAUUUGCCUUUCCUGAACAUAAUGCUUCUGCCAAAACCACAAUCCUUGGACUUACAGAAUGCCUGAUCCACUCUCAUAGUAUUCCACACAGUAUUGCUUCUGACCAAGGAACUCACUCCACAGUCAGAGAAAUGCAACAAUGACUCCAGUAUCACUGAAUUCACUGGUCUUACCAUGUUUCCCACCAUCCUGAGUCAGCUGGCUUGAUAGAAAAAUGGAAUGAUCUUUUGAAGACGCAGUUUCAUCUCCAAUUCGACUGUAGGGCUGGGACAGGGUUCCCCAGAAGGCAGUAUAUGCUUUGAAUCAAUGUCCAAUAUACGAUAGUUUCAUCCAUAGCCAGGAUCCACUUGGAGGAAAAGGGAAUAGUUUCACUCACUAUCACUCUUAGUGACCCACUAGGUAAAUUGUUUACUACCAGUUUCCACAACCUUAAGUUCUGCUGCCCUAGAAGUUUUGGUUGCCAGAGAGGAGGGUGCUUCUGCCAGGAAAGACAGACAACAAACAUUCCACUGAACUGGAAGCUGAUCCAGGAAAGACAACAAACAUUCUACUGAACUGCAAGCUCAGACUUCCCUCUGGCCACUUUGGGCUUGUGACACCAUUAGACCAACAGGCUAAGGAAGGGGAUAACAGUGAUUGAUGGGUGACUGAUCCACAUUACCAAGGGGAAAUUGGAUUGCUUUUCCACAGUAGAGAAUUAACAAAAAUCCAAAUGACUGGGCA
rnacentral:lncRNA from 1 species